GCAGUGGUGGUUCAGUGGUAGAAUUCUUGCCUUCCAUGUGAGAGACCUGGGUUCAAUUCCUGACCAAUGAU
rnacentral:tRNA from 1 species